rnacentral:lncRNA from 1 species
UAUAAUCUGUGUAUAUUUAGUAAUGUACAGCGGACUCCCGCAUAAACGCGGAGAUACGUUUUGCGUUAUAGGAAAUCGCGUAUUAUAUAGUUUAAAUAAUACAUGAUUUAAAUAAAUAUAAAUAAUAUCGCGUAUUAUUUAUAUUAUAUUUAUAGUUGUUUAUUUAUAAAUCGAGCAUUAAUCGUAAUUUUAAGCUGAAUGUUGGCACUGAAGAGGGACUAAACAUAAUGUCCGAAAACGUUAUGCCAAAAUAAAAUUCUCUUUGCUUGUAAUGCUAUGGUAUUCUUCUUUACAGUUAAUCGUAAUUUUUUUAAUCGUGUUAUAGGAGAGUUUAACUGUAAUCGGGAAGAAAUACCAAUUUUUAAAAAUAAGUUUAGCCUAUCCAACCGCUACCAAAAGGACACGUUACUAAUGCAAAUAGAGUUCUACCGGACCGUUUUAUAUAUUUUCGAUGGUAUUUGUGCAGUAUCCAAUGUUUAAUUACAUAAAAAAUAUUAAUUUAUAUAAAUUAUGAUAUAUAUAUAUAUAUAUAUACACAUUUUAAA